rnacentral:rRNA from 1 species
GGGCGUUAAGUUGCAGGGUAUAGACCCGAAACCCGGUGAUCUAGCCAUGGGCAGGUUGAAGGUUGGGUAACACUAACUGGAGGACCGAACCGACUAAUGUUGAAAAAUUAGCGGAUGACCUGUGGCUGGGGGUGAAAGGCCAAUCAAACCGGGAGAUAGCUGGUUCUCCCCGAAAGCUAUUUAGGUAGCGCCUCGUGAAUUCAUCUCCGGGGGUAGAGCACUGUUUCGGCUAGGGGGCCAUCCCGGCUUACCAACCCGAUGCAAACUGCGAAUACCGGAGAAUGUUAUCACGGGAGACACACGGCGGGUGCUAACGUCCGUCGUGAAGAGGGAAACAACCCAGACCGCCAGCUAAGGUCCCAAAGUCAUGGUUAAGUGGGAAACGAUGUGGGAAGGCCCAGACAGCCAGGAUGUUGGCUUAGAAGCAGCCAUCAUUUAAAGAAAGCGUAAUAGCUCACUGGUCGAGUCGGCCUGCGCGGAAGAUGUAACGGGGCUAAACCAUGCACCGAAGCUGCGGCAGCGACACUAUGUGUUGUUGGGUAGGGGAGCGUUCUGUAAGCCUGCGAAGGUGUGCUGUGAGGCAUGCUGGAGGUAUCAGAAGUGCGAAUGCUGACAUAAGUAACGAUAAAGCGGGUGAAAAGCCCGCUCGCCGGAAGACCAAGGGUUCCUGUCCAACGUUAAUCGGGGCAGGGUGAGUCGACCCCUAAGGCGAGGCCGAAAGGCGUAGUCGAUGGGAAACAGGUUAAUAUUCCUGUACUUGGUGUUACUGCGAAGGGGGGACGGAGAAGGCUAUGUCGGCCGGGCGACGGUUGUCCCGGUUUAAGCGUGUAGGCUGACUUUCCAGGCAAAUCCGGAA